UUUAACAAUAAGUAAGUCUUAAAGUUUGUUCUAAUCAUCAGUAGGGAAACAGUACACGACCUAGCUAGGCUAGGUAGAGUUUUAUUUCUCCCCAGCUCACUUAGCCAAGAGAAGAUGAGGAUCUUCAAGCCCAGUAAGACUGACUGUAUGAGGAGAGGCUGCUUUGUCAGGAUGACGACAAAUCUCUCCGAGGAACCGGAAGCAGGGAGGAGGACCAACAGAUGAACGGAUGUCCCUGUUUGCCAGGUUUCCCAUUUCUGAUUCCUGAGAUGGAGACUGACAUAGCUAGAGGGCUGUAUCUGGAUGAGAGUGGCAAGAUGAGCGGAGACUGGUUUCUAUGGUUGAGGAUGAUCCUGCCUCUCCCAAGUUCAACUGAGAUGAAGAGCUGGAAACAGGGAUAAUGAGGUGACAGAUGGCUCUGCCAGCUAGUGAGUUUACUUUAAAAAAGAAAAAAAAAGCAUCAACAAAUAAACAGGCCAGUAAAUGAAACGUCAUAUUUUUUUUUUUAAAGUUCACCUCAGGGAGGGGAGUUCUUCUGGUGAUGUAAUGCAUUGUGAGGUGUUUUUCCCCAGUUCUAAUCUAGAAGUUUUAUUUCCUCUUUUUGCCUCUGAUUUCUAAGAUGACCCUUCCAAAGGAUGACAAAGUCCAAGUUCAAGAAAAUAUCAAAAUUAAAUCGCUUAAAAUUUGUUGAACACCCAAAAGAAGAAUUCUUACUAAUGUGACCUAGCUAGCCUAGGCCGAGAAGUUUUUUUUAUUCCACAGGAUGAAACUUCUCCAUCUGAACCCUAUGGAAAUGGUGGACAAAAGAAGAUCUCAAGCCAUUUACUUCAGGAGAAUGACAUAUUAAGAAGCAGGGACCGACAGAUGACUGAUCAGCAUGUUUGCUACAUCUGAUUCCUGAGAAGAUGAUGACCACCACCCCCAGAUGUGACUGGCUGGAUGAGGAAGAGAGGAUGUUCCAUCUUCACGAGGAUAACACCGCUCCAUCACCGCUGGAACUGAGAAACUGGAGGCAGGGAGGAUGAUCAAGAGAUGACUGGUGACUAAUUAUUUCUAAUUCUUGAGGAUAAUUCUCCCUGAGAAAUAAGUGCACAAUUUUAAUCGAUUUCACUUGUUGUUUCACAAUUGCUGAUGUAUUCCUCACUUAAAAUAAUUAUUGAAAUGACAUAAUCAGUUUAUUAUUCCAAUCAUUUGAUUUAUGCAAAAAUGGAGUUCCUGUGAAAGUUAUAGUGGCAGUGCUCCUUAACCAGUUGAAAAUAUUAGAUAUUGUAAUUUAUUAUUAUUUUUAUUUAAAGAUUUAUUUCUGUGU